CAUUUCAACUCUUUUAUUAUAGAAAGUUAUCACUCACAACUAAUAAUAAUGGUCAUAUUCGUCAAUAUUGAUGAAAAUAAUAAACAGUUUGAGAAACAAAGAAAACAAAAAAUACAUUACUUCAUUACUUUCCAUUUCAAUCAUUGGUGGAACCACUACCGUUCUUAUGCAAGAGAAAAUAUAAUCCAACUAAAAAUAACCAACAGAAUAGUAAGCAAGUAUCCACUCCUAUAACGCAAAAAAAAAAAAGGAAACAACUUUUAUGCAUACUUCGCAUACUAUAGUUCAAGGAUCAGCAAUGGCAAGAUUUUCCUAAGGAAAGAGAGUAUUUUAAUAUAGUGCACAGCCAAGGUGGCGUGUGUGUUUUUCCACAUAAAAGAAAAAAGAUUGUUUUACCAGAGAUACCUGCAUUUGUUUCCCUUAUAAGAAAAGCUACUAAAAAAGAUUCCUUAUCGAAUGGAAAGUCUCCCAUUACUGAGGAAGAAUUUCAGAAGAAAGUUUUAAAUGCACUGGUAGAAAUACAGGAGAUGUUAGUAAUGCUCUUUCCAGUAAUUAAAAUAUCAUCACGACAAAUAGUCCUGAUAUUUUAUGAACGAAUUCGCAGCAGUCAUUUAGUGAUUAUGAUAACAGUUUAAAUGAUUUUUGGGGAUUAUGAUUACAGUUUAAACGGGUGAUGUCUGAAGUGGUUACCAAAACUUUCUAAAAUCAGAGUUA